UACAGCACUUUGUUUUUAUUUUCUAUCAACAAAUUUGUCAUGUUAUUUUCCUAUGUGGUAACAAUCUGAUAUCCUUCUUCCAGGUGAUAUAAGUUCAAAUAUCGAAAGUUCCCAUGCUUCAACUGGUGAAGCUGCUAACCAACUUACUAAAGCAUCCAAUACUCAAAGAUCUACAUCAUCCAUGGUUUGUGGUGGAUUAAAUGAGUCGUACGUUGAGCUGAAGAGGCUUAUGAAUUCACAAGAAAAGUUGUACCAUAUGGCUAGCUAGUUGCAUAUUUAAUAUGUUUAGUAUUUUUGUAAGGCAUAAUAGUAUAGAUAGAGCAGUUGUUGAAUUUUGACUAUAUUCAAAUCUUGUAUGAAUUCUUUUUUAUGAUAAUAAUAUAAAAUUAAAUA